rnacentral:rRNA from 1 species
CGCUGGCGGCGUGCUUAACACAUGCGAGUCGAACGAUGAAGCCUAGCUUGCUAGGUGGAUUAGUGGCGAACGGGUGAGUAAUACGUGAGUAACCUACCUUUAACUCUGGGAUAAGCCUGGGAAACUGGGUCUAAUACCGGAUACGACCAAUCUCCGCAUGGGGUGUUGGUGGAAAGCGUUAUGUAGUGGUUAUAGAUGGGCUCACGGCCUAUCAGCUUGUUGGUGAGGUAACGGCUCACCAAGGCGACGACGGGUAGCCGGCCUGAGAGGGUGACCGGCCACACUGGGACUGAGACACGGCCCAGACUCCUACGGGAGGCAGCAGUGGGGAAUAUUGCACAAUGGGCGCAAGCCUGAUGCAGCGACGCCGCGUGAGGGAUGACGGCCUUCGGGUUGUAAACCUCUGUUAGCAGGGAAGAAGAGAGAUUGACGGUACCUGCAGAGAAAGCGCCGGCUAACUACGUGCCAGCAGCCGCGGUAAUACGUAGGGCGCGAGCGUUGUCCGGAAUUAUUGGGCGUAAAGAGCUUGUAGGCGGUUUGUCGCGUCUGCUGUGAAGGCCGGAGCUUAACUCCGUGUAUUGCAGUGGGUACGGGCAGACUAGAGUGCAGUAGGGGAGGCUGGAAUUCCUGGUGUAGCGGUGGAAUGCGCAGAUAUCAGGAGGAACACCGAUGGCGAAGGCAGGUCUCUGGGCUGUAACUGACGCUGAGAAGCGAAAGCAUGGGGAGCGAACAGGAUUAGAUACCCUGGUAGUCCAUGCCGUAAACGUUGGGCACUAGGUGUGGGGGACAUUCCACGUUUUCCGCGCCGUAGCUAACGCAUUAAGUGCCCCGCCUGGGGAGUACGGCCGCAAGGCUAAAACUCAAAGAAAUUGACGGGGGCCCGCACAAGCGGCGGAGCAUGCGGAUUAAUUCGAUGCAACGCGAAGAACCUUACCAAGGCUUGACAUAUACUGGACCGCAUCAGAGAUGGUGUUUCCCUUCGGGGCUGGUAUACAGGUGGUGCAUGGUCGUCGUCAGCUCGUGUCGUGAGAUGUUGGGUUAAGUCCCGCAACGAGCGCAACCCUCGUUCUAUGUUGCCAGCACGUUAUGGUGGGGACUCAUAGGAGACUGCCGGGGUCAACUCGGAGGAAGGUGGGGAUGACGUCAAAUCAUCAUGCCCCUUAUGUCUUGGGCUUCACGCAUGCUACAAUGGCCGGUACAGAGGGUUGCGAUACUGUGAGGUGGAGCUAAUCCCUAAAAGCCGGUCUCAGUUCGGAUUGGGGUCUGCAACUCGACCCCAUGAAGUCGGAGUCGCUAGUAAUCGCAGAUCAGCAACGCUGCGGUGAAUACGUUCCCGGGCCU